rnacentral:rRNA from 1 species
UACGUAGGGUGCGAGCGUUGUCCGGAAUUAUUGGGCGUAAAGAGCUCGUAGGCGGUCUGUCGCGUCGGAUGUGAAAACACGGGGCUCAACCCCGUGCCUGCAUUCGAUACGGGCAGACUAGAGUUCGGUAGGGGAGACUGGAAUUCCUGGUGUAGCGGUGAAAUGCGCAGAUAUCAGGAGGAACACCGGUGGCGAAGGCGGGUCUCUGGGCCGAUAUUGACGCUGAGGAGCGAAAGCGUGGGGAGCGAACAGG